GCGGGUUUAGCUCAGUUGGGAGAGCGUCAGACUGAAGUCCAAACUUCAUCAUAUACGAAUGUACAUCUGAAGGUCGUGUGUUCGAUCCACACAAACCGCA